GUGAGGAAUAUUGCGCAAUGGAGGCAACUCUGACGCAGCCAUGCCGCGUGCAGGAAGAAGGCGCUACGCGUUGUAAACUGCUUUUAACCGGGAAGAAACCCCAGGACGUGUCCUGGGUUGACGGUACCGGAGGAAUAAGCACCGGCUAACUUCGUGCCAGCAGCCGCGGUAAUACGAAGGGUGCAAGCGUUAUCCGGGUUCAUUGGGUUUAAAGGGUGCGUAGGCGGAGCGUUAAGUCAGUGGUGAAAUCCUGCAGCUUAACUGUAGACUUGCCAUUGAUACUGGCGCUCUUGAGUGCGCUUGAAGUGGGCGGAAUGUGCCGUGUAGCGGUGAAAUGCUUAGAUAUGGCACAGAACACCAAUUGCGAAGGCAGCUCACUAAGGCGAUACUGACGCUGAGGCACGAAAGCGUGGGGAUCGAACAGGAUUAGAAACCCUUGUAGUCC
rnacentral:rRNA from 1 species